rnacentral:lncRNA from 1 species
GCAGCCCUUUAGCUGGGCAGCUGGAGGUGCAUUAGGUGGCCAGGGGGAGCCCUGCCUGACUACAGAGGAGAAUCUGUGAGCUCCAAAGGACAGAACCUGUGCACGCCUCCUGGAUGUGUUGGUUGUCUCAUCUCAUAGGCAGCUGUCUCAAACUUGAUCUCUUGGCAGAACUUGCAUCAGAUGAGAUAUCUGAAGUGUGGAAGGAGAGCCUUGCUUUACUGUCUGAUGACGACAAGAAUGCCUUGGCUGUUGAUAUGGAUAAAAUAAUGUUUGCAGGAGCAGAACAUACUGGCUUUUACCUUGACAGUGCAGGAAGACUUUGCUGUAAUCUGGAUCGGCUUUUGGUAUAA